GCCGCGGUUUCGGGGAAGAGACCGGGGUUGAGCAUAUUGCCCAUCUCAGCGUGACUUCCGCCGGCGUUGAGAGCGUUUUCGGGGUCCGAGUUGAGGAGCAAAACCAAGUGGAGGAAACUUCACUAAGUUCAGGGUGACAAGGGAGGAAGUGCAGAGCCCUCAGGAGGAGCCAGGAACAUCAGGUGCUUUCCACCACUGAACUGUUCCCCAAACUUGCACAUUCCUGAACUGCACUUUAAAUUCUGGAUGACAGACCUAUCAGGACUGAGUGGACCUUUGAGUGACAAGAUGGGGGGUGUUCCAAAGAGACCAUGGCAGCCUGCAGCUAGGACUUUAUCUUUAAUGCAAGUGGUGAUGCUGUGAUAUCUAGUGCUUUAAACAAAUCUCUUUUUUUAAGUGACAGGGUUUCCAAAUUGUUAUAUCUACUUUGUUUAACAGAUCAAUAGGGACAAAAAGUUGAUUCACUUGGUCUAAUGUGGUAGGAAUAGGUGAAAUACUAAGAUUGGGUCCUACACUCUACUUGCCAUCAGGCACCCAUUCUUAUGAAUAGAGAUUCCAUAGGGGCCACAGACAAUCCCAGUACUUUUUUCCCAGUUAAUUGAGAAAAUUAAAGCCAUCAUACAAUAUGUAACUUCCUCCCUCUCCACUUCUGUCAGUGCCACAUAUAUCCACCUGUCUUAUUUGUCUGUCUCAGAAAAUGUAACGUACUUCCUCCACCAAUGUAUGACUACUGUUUCUUGUUCUAGACCUCUUUUCUGCAUUUGGUGUCAUUAAUCAAACCCUCCUUGAAACUCCUUUUGCAUUUCUCCCAUCUUUUUCUACCUGUCUCAUGCUUCUUGGGUUUUUUUUUUUUCUCUGCCUACCCAUUAAAUAGUAUUUCCCAAAGUUCCAACCUUGAGUUGUUUUCUGUCUGUGUCUUCCCUGUGAGGACUAUCCACUCAUUGUUUUAACCUAUUUGCUCAUGGAUUCUAAAACUACUGCUAUUCCUAACCUCUUCCUUGAAGUUCAGACAUUUGGGAGGCUCACGAGCCCUUCAAACUCUAAUUUGUCCUUUGCUUUCAUUUGUACUCCCAAUUCUAUCUCAUCUCACUGCCUCCAGCUGUAACUACUACAACCCCCACCUACACCACCAAAUCCAUCUUGUAAGUAGCAGCCAGAAUGACCAGUCUCAAAUGUAAAUCUAUUUCACUUGCCUCCUUAAAUUUCUGAUCUCCCUCCACAGUCACGUUCAAGAUAGUCCGCCUCCAUGGCCUGGUGUGCUAGAGUCUUCAUCAUCUUGCCACUCUUUUCCUUCCCAGUCUUGUUUCCCUUUCCAGUACCAUCUCCCAUCCUACCCACUUCACAUUCAUGAGGCUGCUUUACACCUGAGACCUUUCACAUUCUGGUUGACUUUGUCUGGACUGUCUUUAUUUUCUUUGGCUGACUCUUCCGUAUCCUUACUAAUUUUUUAGGGUUCUUCCAAGAAGCCGUUCCUUAUUCCAUAGUCUGAGUUAGUUGACUUUUCUCUGCUUUCUUGACAUUCAUGGAUUCAUUCAGAAAAUAUUCACUGAACCCUUAUUUUAUGCUAGAUACUAAGCUAGAUACUGGAAAUAUAAUAAUGAAAAAGCAAAUAUGGCAAUAACCGAUCUAAUAAUUUCCUGACAGAGUUUACAUUCUCAUCGGGAAAAAAAGAAAAAAAAAAAAAAUCAGUUCAGUCUUACUGGCUCCAUGCUUGAGAA